UACGUAGGGUGCGAGCGUUGUCCGGAAUUAUUGGGCGUAAAGAGCUCGUAGGCGGCUUGUCACGUCGGAUGUGAAAGCCCGGGGCUUAACCCCGGGUCUGCAUUCAAUACGGGCAGGCUAGAGUGUGGUAGGGGAGAUCGGAAUUCCUGGUGUAGCGGUGAAAUGCGCAGAUAUCAGGAGGAACACCGGUGGCGAAGGCGGAUCUCUGGGCCAUUACUGACGCUGAGGAGCGAAAGCGUGGGGAGCGAACAGG
rnacentral:rRNA from 1 species